rnacentral:rRNA from 1 species
CCUACGGGAGGCAGCAGCCGCGGUAAUAUUGGACAAUGGGCGCAAGCCAGAUCCAGCCAUGCCGCGUGAGUGAUGGAGGCCCUAGGGUUGUAAAGCUCUUUCACCGGUGAAGAUAAUGACGGUAACCGGAGAAGAAGCCCCGGCUAACUUCGUGCCAGCAGCCGCGGUAAU